UACGGGGGGAGCAAGCGUUGUUCGGAUUUACUGGGCGUAAAGGGCGCGUAGGCGGCCACCGCAAGUCGACUGUGAAAUCUCCGGGCUUAACUCGGAAAGGUCAGCCGAUACUGCGGGGCUAGAGUGCAGAAGGGGCAACUGGAAUUCUCGGUGUAGCGGUGAAAUGCGUAGAUAUCAGGAGGAACACCUGUGGUGUAGACGGCUCUCUGGACCGCAACUGACGCUGAGACACGAAAGCGUGGGUAGCAAACAGG
rnacentral:rRNA from 1 species